rnacentral:rRNA from 1 species
UACGUAGGGUCCGAGCGUUGUCCGGAAUUACUGGGCGUAAAGAGCUUGUAGGCGGCUUGUCACGUCGGGUGUGAAAGCCCGGGGCUUAACCCCGGGUCUGCAUUCGAUACGGGCAGGCUAGAGUGUGGUAGGGGAGAUCGGAAUUCCUGGUGUAGCGGUGAAAUGCGUAGAUAUCGGUAGGAACACCAGUGGCGAAGGCGGUCUCCUGGGGCAUUCUUGACGCUGAGGCGCGAAAGCUGGGGGAGCAAACGGG